UACAGAGGGGGCAAGCGUUGUUCGGAAUUACUGGGCGUAAAGGGCUCGUAGGCGGCCAACUAAGUCAUACGUGAAAUCCCUCGGCUUAACCGGGGAACUGCGUCCGAUACUGGCAGGCUUGAAUUCGGGAGAGGGAUGCGGAAUUCCAGGUGUAGCGGUGAAAUGCGUAGAUAUCUGGAGGAACACCGGUGGCGAAGGCGGCAUCCUGGACCGAUAUUGACGCUGAGGCGCGAAAGCCAGGGGAGCAAACGGG
rnacentral:rRNA from 1 species